AACCAAGGACGAGUCGGUACGCCCUAUCCCUAACCGGCUCUCGUCUCCCUCAGAUGCAGCCGCCCGCCGAAUCGAAUCGCACUGCCAGGUUCGUCCGCCUCGCCGUGGCUGCGUCACUCCUCGGACGGAGGCGACGAUGGAGGGAGCCACUGGCGCUGGCCAGGCCCCCGGCCGAUGGAUGCGCCGGGUCGUCGCUCCUCAGGGACAGCCCCUCCUGCCGCGCUGGAUCACGUGGCAGCCUAGGGAACCCUAACCAGCCCCCGAUCUUCGCAUCUCUCCCUGAAUCCCUCCUCCUCCCUCCCCAAAUCGACAUGGAUCUCGCGCUGCUGGAUCCCCUCCUCUCCCUCGCUGACUUGCCGUGAAUCUUGUGCUGCGAGAGCUGCUCCUAUCCCUUCCCUGGCCGCCAUGGAUCUCGCCAGCCACCAUCGAAGGAAGCCCCACAUACCCAAGCUUAAUGGGCUUGCCAGCGGUGUCGAGGUCCUUGCCAUGGCUCCGAGCCUGGAGAGUAGAUUGAGGUGGACUUCGGUUACAAGGAAGAGCUCCGGAGGGAGAUGAUGCUCCACUUGAGAGAGCAAGAGAAGAUAAGACCUGUAUAGAAGUACUACUCCAUCUGCAAGCGUUCGUUGCUGGAUUUCUUUCACGCCUAUGUGGUGCUGUGCCAUGGUCGCUCUCCCUCCUCCAGGGACUGAGUCCAGAGAUACACAACAUUCAAUUAUGAUGAUCUAGGAAAUUAAUGAUCAUUCAGUCAUUGAUGAUAUAAAAAGAGGCAUGAAGGCAACAAAAGGGGCAGUAUUUUGAUCUCAUGUCAUCUCGCACAUAGAUUAUUUGUUCUUCUUUGCAUACCAUUUUAUUAGUUAUUUAUAUAUACCUGGCGUAUCGCCAUAUUACUGUUUCUUGAAAUUGCCGUAUCGCCGGUGCUUCACAGCUAUGAAGCAUGAGGCUACACUGAUCUAUUUUUAGACGUGCACAUGUUCUAUCAAGAAGUUCCAUUUGCAAUUUUCUUAUAUAAGUUUCAUUGAUGACAAUAAUGAUCGAUCCAUGUUCAUAGCUAAGUACAUGUUUCACUGGUAUUACCAUUGUUCACAGUGUAAGCAAUUAAAUAGUUAUAUGCUUGUUGCACUACAAAGUGUAAACUAUUUAUUAUGUUCCAUCAUUUGGCAGAGCAAAGUAAAUAAGCUUUUUUUUAGCCUCCACCAAUUUGUUGUUCUCCUUGUGUUGCUUGGAUAAAAUGAAAUGCAUACUAUACUGCUACUGCUACCGAGACUUGUCACAAUUUCUGUAUCACGUGUUACAAUGAGACUGAUAGUUCACAAUUCAGGUGGAAGGUAAUCAAUUUCCUAAGGCUAAACUUCAUACUUGAAUCUACGUUGUGUAAUGUGUGACAAAUGUGAACGUUGGCAGCAUCUGAUUUGUGCCCUUCCAAAUUUCAAAUGGGGUGAUUCCAAAGAAGCAGAUUAAACUUGCCCUCAGUGCUGUGUUUGGGAGAUUGAACAUGGUUUAUGUAUGCCUUUGCCACAAAAUCUGUUCUUGGGGCUAAAGAUCAGCCAAGGGCCAUGCUUAGCGAUCAUAUAUAAGAACAACUCUUUAAACGGCUCAGUGGAGAGAGACACGAACGGGCUAUUCAUAAUGGGAAAAGUUUUGAUGAGGAGCUUUUCCGGACUGAAUAAGUAGAGUUAUAGUCAUGCUGAAGGCUGAAAACGAAGCCAGGAUUCAUAUUUACCCAAGCACACCUUUGUCGCUCAGGCGAAGCAUUUUUUGCACAGAGGUGAGACGGAGCUAAGGCUGAGAUGGAGGCCACAUUGUUUUCUAAAAAAAAGAUGGAGGCGACACUGCCUGCGGCAGCGUCUCCAAGAUGAAGAUCUAGGACGUGGACGGAGGCAGGGAUGAUGCAAAUUGUCCCAGCGUCGUUGGCGGAGGACAUGUAGCUGGUUGUGGGGUUCGGGUGAAGGUGAGUUAGAGGGAUGACCGGUGGCAGCGGCGGCAACUCGGGCAGACCAGGGCGACGAGGCUGCACUGUGGGUGUUCGUCUGCCUGGAGGAAGAAGGUCGGACAAUUCCGAGAAUCAGACCUGCCAAUAUGAGAGGUUAAAUGCAAGAAACGAGAAUAAGGCCCAUGCCAAGGAAGGCGAGGGUCCUGCGGCUGGCUGCUGCUAAGGAUAGCAGGCAGUAGAGAAGUUUCUUUCUGAUUUGAAGUGUGCAGAUUGGGACAGCUCGCUUUCUGUGGGCAACCAGCUGAAUGCUAAAAUGUCAUAAAUGGCUGUGAACAGAUCGGAUAUGAUUCGUACAUCAGGUUGCAGUAUCUACCAAAGAAUAUAUGUGAAAUCCAAGGAAUCAUUUCUGAGUUCUGAGCGAUUUGUGGUAGGGCUCAAGAUAUGUGGUUUUGGAUUAUGGUAGGACUCAAGAUAUGUGACCUCCAAGGAAACUGCAAACUCAAGAUAUGUGGUCUUGGACUAGCAAGAUUUGCAUCCAGUGACACCCCUACAACAGUUUUCUGGAUGGAGCAGGACCAUGUCGCCACCUGAUGGUAUAGAGCUGAUGAACUCUGUAACGUUCUAUCAUUACCAAGGGACUAACCACAGAAUAUUAGUACUAUAUGCUGAUAUUGACAAGCCGCACUACCUUCUCCAAUGGCAUGGGCAACGUGUAUUAUGUCGAAGUGUGUGGGAUUAUUGAUUUUAUGUCUUUAUUUUUACUAAUAUAUAUUUAUACAAGGAUGACAAUCAACAAAAUGUGUAUUUCUUAUUCAACCAGUGUCCUCGCAUGUAAAGACAAGUAAUGAUUCGAGCACAUGAGAAAGAAAACAAUACUUAAUAAUUUUCCUA